rfam:Aedes albopictus isolate Foshan contig19578, whole genome shotgun sequence.
UAGCCUAGUGGAUAAGGCUAUGGAUCGCCAAUCCGGAGACGGCGGGUUCGAUUCCCGU